GACUCAAAGUAUCAAAAGAAAAACAGAAAAAGAGCACUGAAGUGCCAUUCCAGCCUAGAACCUGACCCCAACAUAAAGGCUAUAUCUAUCUCCCACAAUAUAAGGAAAAUACAACCCGAAGUAGAAA